GGGCCCGCACAAGCGGUGGAGUAUGUGGUUUAAUUCGAUGCAACGCGAAGAACCUUACCAGGGUUUGACAUCCUGCGAAUCUCUUGGAAACAGGAGAGUGCCUUCGGGAACGCAGUGACAGGUGGUGCAUGGCUGUCGUCAGCUCGUGUCGUGAGAUGUUGGGUUAAGUCCCGCAACGAGCGCAACCCACGUCUUUAGUUGCCAGCAUUUAGUUGGGCACUCUAGAGAGACUGCCGGUGAUAAACCGGAGGAAGGUGUGGAUGACGUCAAGUCCUCAUGGCCCUUACGGGAUGGGCUACACACGUGCUACAAUGGCAGUGACAAUGGGUUAAUCCCCAAAAGCUGUCUCAGUUCGGAUUGAGGUCUGAAACUCGACCUCAUGAAGUCGGAAUCGCUAGUAAUCGCAGGUC
rnacentral:rRNA from 1 species